rnacentral:tRNA from 1 species
UGGCUCAAAUGGUAAAGCAUCUGCCUGCAAUGCAGGAGACCCAAGUUUGAUUCCUGG